ACUCCUACGGGAGGCAGCAGUGGGGAAUAUUGCACAAUGGGCGCAAGCCUGAUGCAGCCAUGCCGCGUGUGUGAAGAAGGCCUUCGGGUUGUAAAGCACUUUCAGUUGUGAGGAAGGUGGUGUCGUUAAUAGCGGCAUCAUUUGACGUUAGCAACAGAAGAAGCACCGGCUAACUCCGUGCCAGCAGCCGCGGUAAUACGGAGGGGGUUAGCGUUGUUCGGAAUUACUGGGCGUAAAGCGCACGUAGGCGGAUCGGAAAGUUGGGGUGAAAUCCGGGCUCAACCCGACGGCAUCCAAAACUAUCGGUCUAGAGUUCGAGAGAGGUGAGUGGAAUUCCGAGUGUAGAGGUGAAAUUCGUAGAUAUUCGGAGGAACACCAGUGGCGAAGGCGGCUCACUGGCUCGAUACUGACGCUGAGGUGCGAAAGUGUGGGAGCAAACAGGAUUAGAUACCCUGGUAGGCUCUG
rnacentral:rRNA from 1 species